rnacentral:ncRNA from 1 species
UUAGUGAUGCACAUGAAUGGAUUAACUAGAUUCCCACUAUCCCUAUCUACUAUCUAGUGAAAACACAACCAAGGGAAUGGGCUUGGCAUAAUCAACACGGAAAUAAGAUCUUGUUGAUAUUGACUCUAGUCCGACUUUGUGAAAUGAAUUGAGAGUUGUAGAAUGAUCCAGAUUAUUUUUGGCACAAAAUGAGAGCGGAGAUAUAACACAAAAAUAUUCAGAGAUAUUGCAAGAGAGACAAAAAUAUAACAAUGAUAUAUCAUAAAUAUAACAAGAGUCACAUAUAUACAGUAAUACAUGAUUUCUAUUAAUGAAAGAAAUGUACAGAGAUUGUAAAAAUAUAGAGUGAAAGACUUGCUAGAAUGGUGGCAGCUUAUCUCUGAGAAGAGAUGUGAUGGCUACUCGCAUUCGAAAGAAUAUGAUUGUAAUAAUGAGGCUCUAAGAACCUUUUUACCAUAAAGAAAAUCCAAAACCCUAACCCCGGAAGAUGAAAAGACAAAAGGUUUGCAGGUCCUGAUGGGGGUAGUUGAUACGUCAACUUCCUGAGGGCAUAACUUUUGCAUACGAUCUCUGU